AUGGGUUCUUCAGGGUGCCCGGAGAUAGUCGAGCUGGUGGAUGAGACCAAAGACGCCCGUCCGGGCGGGGUCACCCACCUGAGGGUGAGGGUGAAGCCGGUGGGGCAGGAGCAUGGGGGCCGGUCGUGCUCGGUCGAGGAUGACCUCGACCGGCUCCUCAGAUCCUUCAAUGUGCGCACCUCGGCGCGGGCUUCUGGGCAGACGAGCACGGACAAGAGGCUUAUUGCGCUUGGGAAGGCGCCCAUGUCGAGCUCGGAGAUCGUGGAGUCUGUGAGCUUGAAGCAGGCCCUCAGGAAGAUGUGCAUCUCCCAGGCCUCGGAGAUGGCUGCCAUGAAGAGGAUGUCCAAGCCCGCGGCUGUGUCGAGUACUCCUGAAUCUGGGGCGAUUAAGAAGCUUUAUGCCUCUGUGGUGGUUCCAACAGACGAGGACCAAGAUGGGAAGAACAAGGUUGAGAAGGCCGUUGCUUUGCCUGACAAGGUUGUAGUAAGUUCAUCGGUUAAGUUGGUUGAAUCAGGCAAGAAGGUGCACAGUAAGGCUUCAGCUCACAAGCAUGUGCGAUCAGCGUCUCCAACCAAGACCAAGGUCCAAAAAACCAGAAUCCAAGAUGUCAUCAGUAAUAAGUCACUGGAGGCAAGCGAAGAUCCGACUGCAGGAAGAGCUGUGGCAAAACAGAGAAAGGGUAAAUCUCCAAAAGCAUCUAGUCCGCGAGCUGUUCCAGUUGGAGGCUCACGGCUGGUGUUUCGCAGCAAGUCCUCCACUAAAAAGAAGGUUAAACCGGAACCAGCUGCAGCGGUGGCGUCACAGAAUCAUUGUGAGCCAAAAGGUUCCGGUUCUCAUACUAAGAAGCAACACGAGGCCCCUCAGGAUGAACCCAAAACUCCAGCACCAACCAGCAAGAAGGGUGCUGAUGAUGGCUCUCUCGGCGCCGAAGGAGUUGAUUUUGGCAAAGGAUGCUAUGUCAGUGGGAUCCCUGGUUCACAGCCUGGUGAGUUGUCAAGGUCGAAGGAAAAGGGUGAAAGCUCCCAAAGCUCAAAGAGCAGCAUCGGUGACUACAGCACAAGCACCAGCAUCAGUGAAGAUAGUUAUGGUAGUUUCAGUGCUAAUGGCAGCAGGCCUCACAUGUCAAAAGAUGUGAGAUGGGAAGCCAUGAAGCGUAUAGCGAUCCAACAAGGGACCCUGGGAUUGAAGAACUUCAAGCUUCUCAAACAGCUUGGAUGUGGAGAUAUUGGCACUGUGUAUCUGGCUGAGUUGGUUGGUUCGGACUGCAUGUUUGCACUGAAGGUUAUGGACAUUGAGUACCUAAUAAGCCGGAAGAAGAUGCUGAGGGCUCAAACUGAGAGGGAGAUACUGCAAAUGCUUGACCACCCGUUUCUUCCCACCCUGUAUUCUUAUUUCACGACAGAUAAUCUGUCUUGCCUAGUGAUGGAGUAUUGUCCAGGCGGUGACCUGCAUGUCCUAAGGCAGAAGCAACCUACUAGAUGCUUUUCAGAAGCCGCUGCUAGGUUUUACGUCGCUGAAGUUCUCCUAGCAUUGGAGUAUCUGCAUAUGUUGGGGGUUAUAUAUCGUGAUCUGAAGCCUGAGAACAUACUUGUUCGUGAAGAUGGGCACAUCAUGCUCUCCGACUUUGAUCUGUCCCUGAGGUGUUCAGUUAAUCCCGUGCUUGUGAGGUGCUCAUCAGUAGGAAGAGAUGAACCUCCUAGGCCUUCCGGACCUUGUGCUGAAAGCUGCAUCGAUCCACUGUGUAUCCAGCCAUCCUGGGCCAACUCUUCUUGCUUCACACCUCGGCUGGUAUCUUCUACACCUUCCAGGACACGGAGGGCUGAGCCCCUGAAGAAACCAUCACUUCCGCAGCUUGUCGUCGAGCCCACUGACGCGAGGUCAAAUUCAUUUGUGGGGACCCAUGAGUACCUUGCCCCGGAGAUCAUCAGAGGAGAUGGCCAUGGCAGCUCGGUCGAUUGGUGGACUCUUGGCAUCUUUCUGUAUGAAUUGCUCUACGGCAAGACACCAUUCAGAGGACCUGGCAAUGACGAAACACUUACAAAUGUGGUCUCACAGGGGCUGAAGUUCCCUGAUAGCCCAGCUGUCAGCUACCAGGCUCGCGAUCUGAUCAGAGGGUUGCUUGUGAAGGAGCCAGAGCUCCGGCUAGGCUCGAGGAAAGGAGCUGCCGAGAUCAAGCGGCACCCCUUCUUCCAAGGCCUGAACUGGGCCUUGAUCCGUUGGACUGCACCGCCCGAGACCCCGAAAAGCGUCGACGCCUCAACCCUUACGGCAGCGGUGGCACGGAAGAAGAAGGAAGGCAAGUGCCUUGAGUUCCGGAUGAAUGGAGACGACAUUGAGUUCGAGCUCUUCUAG
rnacentral:rRNA from 1 species